AUUGAACGCUGGCGGAAUGCUUUGCACAUGCAAGUCGAACGGCAGCACGGACUUCGGUCUGGUGGCGAGUGGCGAACGGGUGAGUAAUGUAUCGGAACGUGCCCAGUCGUGGGGGAUAACGUAGUGAAAAUUACGCUAAUACCGCAUACGAUCUAUGGAUGAAAGCGGGGGAUCGCAAGACCUCGCGCGAUUGGAGCGGCCGAUAUCAGAUUAGGUAGUUGGUGGGGUAAAGGCCCACCAAGCCGACGAUCUGUAGCUGGUCUGAGAGGACGACCAGCCACACUGGAACUGAGACACGGUCCAGACUCCUACGGGAGGCAGCAGUGGGGAAUGUUGGACGAUGGGCGAAAGCCUGAUCCAGCCAUUCCGCGUGCAGGAUGAAGGCCCUCGGGUUGUAAACUGCUUUUGUACAGAACGAAAAGGUUUCUACUAAUACUAGGAGCUCAUGACGGUACUGUAAGAAUAAGCACCGGCUAACUACGUGCCAGCCGCCGCCGUAA
rnacentral:rRNA from 1 species